UACGAAGGGGGCUAGCGUUGCUCGGAAUCACUGGGCGUAAAGCGCACGUAGGCGGCUUUCUAAGUCAGGGGUGAAAUCCUGGAGCUCAACUCCAGAACUGCCUUUGAUACUGGAAAGCUUGAGUUCGGGAGAGGUGAGUGGAACUCCGAGUGUAGAGGUGAAAUUCGUAGAUAUCAGGAGGAACACCAAUGGCGAAGGCAGCUCGCUGGGACGGUACUGACGCUGAGACGCGAAAAGCGUGGGGAGCAAACAGGG
rnacentral:rRNA from 1 species